rnacentral:rRNA from 1 species
UUGAACGCUGGCGGCAGGCCUAACACAUGCAAGUCGAACGGUAACAGGAAGCAGCUUGCUGUUUCGCUGACGAGUGGCGGACGGGUGAGUAAUGUCUGGGAAACUGCCUGAUGGAGGGGGAUAACUACUGGAAACGGUAGCUAAUACCGCAUAACGUCGCAAGACCAAAGAGGGGGACCUUCGGGCCUCUUGCCAUCGGAUGUGCCCAGAUGGGAUUAGCUAGUAGGUGGGGUAACGGCUCACCUAGGCGACGAUCCCUAGCUGGUCUGAGAGGAUGACCAGCCACACUGGAACUGAGACACGGUCCAGACUCCUACGGGAGGCAGCAGUGGGGAAUAUUGCACAAUGGGCGCAAGCCUGAUGCAGCCAUGCCGCGUGUAUGAAGAAGGCCUUCGGGUUGUAAAGUACUUUCAGCGGGGAGGAAGGGAGUAAAGUUAAUACCUUUGCUCAUUGACGUUACCCGCAGAAGAAGCACCGGCUAACUCCGUGCCAGCAGCCGCGGUAAUACGGAGGGUGCAAGCGUUAAUCGGAAUUACUGGGCGUAAAGCGCACGCAGGCGGUUUGUUAAGUCAGAUGUGAAAUCCCCGGGCUCAACCUGGGAACUGCAUCUGAUACUGGCAAGCUUGAGUCUCGUAGAGGGGGGUAGAAUUCCAGGUGUAGCGGUGAAAUGCGUAGAGAUCUGGAGGAAUACCGGUGGCGAAGGCGGCCCCCUGGACGAAGACUGACGCUCAGGUGCGAAAGCGUGGGGAGCAAACAGGAUUAGAUACCCUGGUAGUCCACGCCGUAAACGAUGUCGACUUGGAGGUUGUGCCCUUGAGGCGUGGCUUCCGGAGCUAACGCGUUAAGUCGACCGCCUGGGGAGUACGGCCGCAAGGUUAAAACUCAAAUGAAUUGACGGGGGCCCGCACAAGCGGUGGAGCAUGUGGUUUAAUUCGAUGCAACGCGAAGAACCUUACCUGGUCUUGACAUCCACGGAAGUUUUCAGAGAUGAGAAUGUGCCUUCGGGAACCGUGAGACAGGUGCUGCAUGGCUGUCGUCAGCUCGUGUUGUGAAAUGUUGGGUUAAGUCCCGCAACGAGCGCAACCCUUAUCCUUUGUUGCCAGCGGUUAGGCCGGGAACUCAAAGGAGACUGCCAGUGAUAAACUGGAGGAAGGUGAGGAUGACGUCAAGUCAUCAUGGCCCUUACGACCAGGGCUACACACGUGCUACAAUGGCGCAUACAAAGAGAAGCGACCUCGCGAGAGCAAGCGGACCUCAUAAAGUGCGUCGUAGUCCGGAUUGGAGUCUGCAACUCGACUCCAUGAAGUCGGAAUCGCUAGUAAUCGUGGAUCAGAAUGCCACGGUGAAUACGUUCCCGGGCCUUGUACACACCGCCCGUCACACCAUGGGAGUGGGUUGCAAAAGAAGUAGGUAGCUUAACCUUCGGGAGGGCGCUUACCACUUUGUGAUUCAUGACUGGGGUG